AUCAACGCUGGCGGGCGCGCUUAACACAUGCAAGUCGAACGAGAAAGGGAGCAAUCCUGAGUAAAGUGGCGCACGGGUGGUACGUAACACGUGGGUUAAUCCACCCUCUGGUGGGGAAUAACUCUGGGAAACCGGAGCUAAUACCGCAUAAGACCGAGAGGUGAAAGGGCGAAAGUUCGCCGGAAGGAGGAGCCCGCGGCUGAUUAGCUAGUUGGUAGGGUAAGAGCCUACCAAGGCUGAGAUCGGUAGCCGGCCUGAGAGGGGCACACGGGCCACACUGGCGACUGAAACACGGGCCAGACUCCUACGGGAGGGCAGCAGUGGGGAAUCUUGCACAAUGGGGGCAACCCUGAUGCAGCGACGCCGCGUGAGUGAUGAAGCCCUUCGGGGUGUAAAGCUCUUUCGACCCGGAAGAUUAUGACGGUACGGGGAGAAGAAGCUGCGGCUAACUACGUGCCAGCAGCCGCGGUAAUACGUAGGCAGCGAGCGUCGUUCGGAGUUACUGGGCGUAAAGCGUGCGUAGGCGGUGUCCUAAGUCUGUUGUGAAAUCUCCCGGCUUAACUGGGAGGGUGCGGCGGGAAACUGGGGUGCUGGAGUGCGGGAGAGGGUAAGCGGAAUUCCCGGCUUGUUAGCGUGAAAUGCGUAGAUAUCGGGAGGAACACCUGCGGUGUAGACGGCUUACUGGACCGUAACUGACGCUGAAGGCACGAAAGCGUGGGUAGCAAACAGGAUUAGAUACCCUGGUAGUCCACGCCCUAAACGAUGCAUACUUGGUGUGGGCAGUUCAGUCUGUCCGUGCCGAAGCUAACGCGAUAAGUAUGCCGCCUGGGAGUACGGUCGCAAGGCUGAAACUCAAAGGAAUUGACGGGGCCCGCACAAGCCGGUGGAGCAUGUGGUUAAUUCGACGCAACGCGAAGAACCUUACCUGGGCUCGAACGGCUUUGGACCGGCUUUAGAAAUAGAGCCUUUCCCGCAAGGGACUGAAAGUCGAGGUGCUGCAUGGCUGUCGUCAGCUCGUGUCGUGAGAUUGUUGGGGUUAGUCCCGCAAACGAGCGCAACCCUUAUCCUGCUGUUGCAACCUCAUUCAUAGGGACUCUCACGGCGACCUGCCAGCGAAUAAGCUGGAGGAAGGUGGGAUGACGUCAAGUCCUCAUGGCCUUUAUGUCCAGGGCUACACACGUGCUACAAUGUGACGGUACAACCGUCGCGAACUCGCGAGACGGGAGCUAAUCGGAAAAACCGCUCUUCAGUUCGGAUUGCAGGCUGCAACUCGCCUGCAUGCAAGCUUGGAAUCGCUAGUAAUCGCAGAUCAUACAUGAACGAUCCGGUGAAUACGUGUCCCGGGUCCUUGUACACACCGCCCGUUCACCUCACGAAAGUGGGCUGUACUAGAACACGUUGCGGCUAACCCGCAAGGGAGGCAGGCGUCCCAAGGUAUGACUUCAUGAUUGGGGUG
rnacentral:rRNA from 1 species